UGGGGAAUCUUGCGCAAUGGGGGAAACCCUGACGCAGCAACGCCGCGUGGGUGAUGAAGGCCUUCGGGUCGUAAAGCCCUGUCAGGUGGGAAGAAACUUGUGGAUGUUAAUACCGUCCACACUUGACGGUACCGGCGGAAUAAGCACCGGCUAACUACGUGCCAGCAGCCGCGGUAAUACGUAGGGUGCGAGCGUUAAUCGGAAUUACUGGGCGUAAAGCGUGCGUAGGCGGUUCGUUGUGUCUGCCGUGAAAGCCCCGGGCUCAACCUGGGAACGGCAUUGGAAACUGGCGAGCUCGAGUAUGGCAGAGGGGGGUGGAACUCCACGUGUAGCAGUGAAAUGCGUAGAGAUGUGGAAGAACACCGAUGGCGAAGGCAGCCCCCUGGGUCAAUACUGACGCUCAGGCACGAAAGCGUGGGGAGCAAACAGGAUUAGAUACCCUGGUAGUCCACGCCCUAAACGAUGAUCACUAGGUGUUGGGGAAGUGAUUCCUUGGUACCGCAGCUAACGCGUGAAGUGAUCCGCCUGGGGAGUACGGUCGCAAGAUUA
rnacentral:rRNA from 1 species